rnacentral:rRNA from 1 species
GGGGCCCGCACAAGCAGCGGAGCGUGUGGUUUAAUUCGAUGCAACACGAAGAACCUUACCAAGACUUGACAUGUUGGAAGUAGUGAACCGAAAGGGGAACGACCUGUUAAAUCAGGAGCCUUCACAGGUGCUGCAUGGCUGUCGUCAGCUCGUGCCGUGAGGUGUUGGGUUAAGUCCCGUAACGAGCGCAACCCUUAUUGCCAGUUAAUUUCUCUGGCGAGACGCCCUGCAAAACGGGGAGGAAGGUAGGGAUGACGUCAAGUCAGCACGGCCCUUAUGUCUUGGGCUACACACACGCUACAAUGGAUGGUACAAUUGGUUGCAAUGGGGCGACCCGGAGCCAAUCCGUAAAACCAUUCUCAGUUCGGAUUGCAGGCUGAAACCUGCCUGCAUGAAGCUGGAGUUGCUAGUAACCGCAAGUCAGCAAAUUGCGGUGAAUACGUUCUCGGGCCUU